rnacentral:rRNA from 1 species
GAUGAACGCUGGCGGCGUGCCUAAUACAUGCAAGUCGAGCGAACGGACGAGAAGCUUGCUUCUCUGAUGUUAGCGGCGGACGGGUGAGUAACACGUGGAUAACCUACCUAUAAGACUGGGAUAACUUCGGGAAACCGGAGCUAAUACCGGAUAAUAUUUUGAACCGCAUGGUUCAAAAGUGAAAGACGGUCUUGCUGUCACUUAUAGAUGGAUCCGCGCUGCAUUAGCCAGUUGGUAAGGUAACGGCUUACCAAGGCAACGAUGCAUAGCCGACCGGAGAGGGUGAUCGGCCACACUGGAACUGAGACACGGUCCAGACUCCUACGGGAGGCAGCAGUAGGGAAUCUUCCGCAAUGGGCGAAAGCCUGACGGAGCAACGCCGCGUGAGUGAUGAAGGUCUUCGGAUCGUAAAACUCUGUUAUUAGGGAAGAACAUAUGUGUAAGUAACUGUGCACAUCUUGACGGUACCUAAUCAGAAAGCCACGGCUAACUACGUG